rnacentral:piRNA from 1 species
GCUCAGAGGUUGGGAGCACUGGAUG